rnacentral:rRNA from 1 species
GGCGUAAGCGCACGCAGGCGGUCUGUCAAGUCGGAUGUGAAAUCCCCGGGCUCAACCUGGGAACUGCAUUCGAAACUGGCAGGCUAGAGUCUUGUAGAGGGGGGUAGAAUUCCAGGUGUAGCGGUGAAAUGCGUAGAGAUCUGGAGGAAUACCGGUGGCGAAGGCGGCCCCCUGGACAAAGACUGACGCUCAGGUGCGAAAGCGUGGGGAGCAAACAGGAUUAGAUACCCUGGUAGUCCACGCCGUAAACGAUGUCGACUUGGAGGUUGUGCCCUUGAGGCGUGGCUUCCGGAGCUAACGCGUUAAGUCGACCGCCUGGGGAGUACGGCCGCAAGGUUAAAACUCAAAUGAAUUGACGGGGGCCCGCACAAGCGGUGGAGCAUGUGGUUUAAUUCGAUGCAACGCGAAGAACCUUACCUACUCUUGACAUCCAGAGAACUUACCAGAGAUGCAUUGGUGCCUUCGGGAACUCUGAGACAGGUGCUGCAUGGCUGUCGUCAGCUCGUGUUGUGAAAUGUUGGGUUAAGUCCCGCAACGAGCGCAACCCUUAUCCUUUGUUGCCAGCGGUCCGGCCGGGAACUCAAAGGAGACUGCCAGUGAUAAACUGGAGGAAGGUGGGGGAUGACGUCAAGUCAUCAUGGCCCUUACGAGUAGGGCUACACACGUGCUACAAUGGCGCAUACAAAGAGAAGCGACCUCGCGAGAGCAAGCGGACCUCAUAAAGUGCGUCGUAAUCCCGGAUUGGAGUCUGCAACUCGACU